GACGAACGCUGGCGGCGUGCCUAAUACAUGCAAGUAGAACGCUGAAGGAGGAGCUUGCUUCUCUGGAUGAGUUGCGAACGGGUGAGUAACGCGUAGGUAACCUGCCUGGUAGCGGGGGAUAACUAUUGGAAACGAUAGCUAAUACCGCAUAAUAGUAGAUGUUGCAUGACAUUUGCUUAAAAGGUGCAAUUUCAUCACUACCAGAUGGACCUGCGUUGUAUUAGCUAGUUGGUGGGGUAACGGCUCACCAAGGCGACGAUACAUAGCCGACCUGAGAGGGUGAUCGGCCACACUGGGACUGAGACACGGCCCAGACUCCUACGGGAGGCAGCAGUAGGGAAUCUUCGGCAAUGGACGGAAGUCUGAACGAGCAACGCCGCGUGAGUGAAGAAGGGUUUCGGAUCGUAAAGAUCUGUUGUAAGAGAAGAACGAGUGUGAGAGUGGAAAGUUCACACUGUGACGGUAUCUAACCAGAAAGGGACGGCUAACUACGUG
rnacentral:rRNA from 1 species